rnacentral:rRNA from 1 species
UCUGCCCGCUGGCGGCGUGCCUAAUACAUGCAAGUCGAGCGAACAGACGAGGAGCUUGCUCCUCUGACGUUAGCGGCGGACGGGUGAGUAACACGUGGAUAACCUACCUAUAAGACUGGGAUAAAUUCGGGAAACCGGAGCUAAUACCGGAUAAUAUAUUGAACCGCAUGGUUCAAUAGUGAAAGACGGUUUUGCUGUCACUUAUAGAUGGAUCCGCGCCGCAUUAGCUAGUUGGUAAGGUAACGGCUUACCAAGGCAACGAUGCGUAGCCGACCUGAGAGGGGGAUCGGCCACACUGGAACUGAGACACGGUCCAGACUCCUACGGGAGGCAGCAGUAGGGAAUCUUCCGCAAUGGGCGAAAGCCUGACGGAGCAACGCCGCGUGAGUGAUGAAGGUCUUCGGAUCGUAAAACUCUGUUAUUAGGGAAGAACAAAUGUGUAAGUAACUAUGCACGUCUUGACGGUACCUAAUCAGAAAGCCACGGCUAACUACGUG